GACUGUUUAAUUAAGUAAAUAUAUUUGCUUAUUUCAGAACAAAGAGGAGAGCUUGGUUCUGCAGCGAAUAAAAAGACAACUUUUUAGACCAGGUUUUGCACCAGCUAGAGCACAGGCACGAGCGCCAACAAUGAUUGUAGUUCCUGAAAGAGGUACCGGGAACUAUCCAGUAUAUGGAAAUGUUCCCAUAUCGCCGUACAGCGUCAAUACUCCCAACAGAGGGAUGACGGUGGUCGUCAGUCAAGUACCAGAAUAUAAUUACAACGGUAUUGGUCGAACCUACGGCGUUGUGCC